CUCAGAAGCCCAGGACUGUUUUCUGCCCUUGGGUCACUCAUAGGUGCGCGGGGAGAGCGGGGCGGGCCGGAGCCAGUGCUGAUAAACCAGGGGCAGGGGCCACCUGGCGGGGCCGUUCAGGCUGGCAAACUUUUCAGAGGUUUGGACUUGAGGAAUUCGACUGAAGAAGGAAGUGAAGGGAGGUUCCUGGGGGAGCCACGAGUCCCCCCAACCCAUGCUGCGGGAAGGAAGGGGUCAGGAGAGAAACCUAGCCCCUCUGGGCAAGGCGAUUCCGAAGUACCAGGGCACCGGAGGAAUGCAGUCAGCACUCAGAUGCCUGCGGUUUGCAAUGUCAUGGUAAGUAUGUGUUCAGUUAANNNNNNNNNNNNNNNNNNNNNNNNNNNNUCAUCAAGAACACACAGCACAGGAGUGUUCCACCAGCAUUUAAUUAAUGUCCACAGCUACUGUGAAGACUCAGCCUAUCUCCCAUUAGCAUCAGAGUAUUGUAAUUGGCGUCAUAAGGAUAUUAGAUAGGUUUUCACUGGGGACGAGGAGGAUGUGGCAUGUUAAAAACCCAUUAGAAAUGAGCCCUCAUCAUUAUAGUCAGUGGUCUGGAAGAUACACACUCAUUGGCUAAGACAGCUUACAGUCCC
rnacentral:lncRNA from 1 species